UACGUAGGGGGCUAGCGUUGCUCGGAAUUACUGGGCGUAAAGCGCACGUAGGCGGCUCUUUAAGUCGGAGGUGAAAUCCUGGAGCUCAACUCCAGAACUGCCUUCGAUACUGAAGAGCUCGAGUCCGGGAGAGGUGAGUGGAACUGCGAGUGUAGAGGUGAAAUUCGUAGAUAUUCGCAAGAACACCAGUGGCGAAGGCGGCUCACUGGCCCGAUACUGACGCUGAGGCACGAAAGCGUGGGGAGCAACAGG
rnacentral:rRNA from 1 species